rnacentral:rRNA from 1 species
CCAGACUCCUACGGGAGGCAGCAGUGAGGAAUAUUGGUCAAUGGGCUUACGCCUGAACCAGCCAAGUCGCGUGAGGGAAGACUGCCCUAUGGGUUGUAAACCUCUUUUGCCGGGGAGCAAAAAGCGGUACGUGUACCGCAUCGAGAGUACCCGGAGAAAAAGCAUCGGCUAACUCCGUGCCAGCAGCCGCGGUAAUACGGAGGAUGCGAGCGUUAUCCGGAUUUAUUGGGUUUAAAGGGUGCGCAGGCGGAGGCACAAGUCAGCGGUAAAAUCGCGGGGCUCAACCCCGCUCCGCCGUUGAAACUGUGUCCCUUGAGUGCGCGAAGGGUAGGCGGAAUGCGUGGUGUAGCGGUGAAAUGCAUAGAUAUCACGAAGAACCCCGAUUGCGAAGGCAGCAUACCGGCUCCACACUGACGCUGAGGCACGAAAGCGUGGGUAUCGAACAGGAUUAGAUACCCCGGUAA